UACGUGGGGUGCAAGCGUUGCUCGGAAUUACUGGGCGUAAAGCGCGUGUAGGCGGCCCACUAAGUUCGAUGUGAAAGCCCUGGGCUCAACCCAGGAACUGCAUUGAAAACUGGUGGGCUUGAGUCCGGGAGAGGGUCGCGGAAUUCCUGGUGUAGAGGUGAAAUUCGUAGAUAUCAGGAGGAACACCGGUGGCGAAGGCGGCGUCCUGGACCGGUACUGACGCUGAGACGCGAAAGCGUGGGGAGCAAACAGG
rnacentral:rRNA from 1 species